GUAUAAAUGUCGGUGUGCCCUUUCUUGCGGCCUCAUUCAGCUUCAGCGGAAAGCCGGUGGUUGCUCAGAAGGCACAAGAGAACCAGUUUUGCGUGAUUUGCUAUUGAUUCUACAAGGGCGUGACCAUGACCGUUCUGAGAGUCCCGUUGGAUGGUAGCUGUAGACUGGACACAGAAUGUUUGAUUUAUCAAAUAACCAGGAUAAUUAUGGCAAAUGGCUAAUAUGACUGGAUGAAUAUAAUGGAAUGGAUGGACUGCCACAUCACCAUCAGAGGCUCUGUGUGUAAACUGCAGUUUCUCAGGGGCUGUUUAUCACAUGGCUUGGAAUCGACUGGUCCUAAGAUCAGCUGUUGAACUAAAGUCUGUUGGAGCAGCUUAUCAAGGUGUGGACUACUAUACUGACUACUGAAGACUGGGGAUAUUCAGGGAAUUGUCUCAACCUAAACUUCAGCCAAUAGUCACUUGGCCAGACUUGUCCAGUUGGUGGAAAUUGGAGGUUUAUUUAUUAACCCUGGAAGCCAUUUCAGAUCUGUACAAACUGACUUCAGGAUGUUUCAUGAUUUACAAUAAACUUUACCAUGUGUACUCGCA